ACCAGACUCCUACGGGAGGCAGCAGUGGGGAAUAUUGCACAAUGGGGGAAACCCUGAUGCAGCAACGCCGCGUGAGUGAAGAAGUAUUUCGGUAUGUAAAGCUCUAUCAGCAGGGAAGAAGAUGACGGUACCUGACCAAGAAGCCCCGGCUAACUACGUGCCAGUAGCCGCGGUAAUACGUAGGGGGCAAGCGUUAUCCGGAUUUACUGGGUGUAAAGGGAGCGCAGACGGCAGUGCAAGUCUGGAGUGAAAGCCCGGGGCUCAACCCCGGAACUGCUUUGGAAACUGUGCGGCUGGAGUGCAGGAGGGGUAAGCGGAAUUCCUAGUGUAGCGGUGAAAUGCGUAGAUAUUAGGAGGAACACCGGUGGCGAAGGCGGCUUACUGGACUGUAACUGACGUUGAGGCUCGAAAGCGUGGGGAGCAAACAGGAUUAGAUACCCCCGUAGU
rnacentral:rRNA from 1 species